UACAGAGGGUGCGAGCGUUAAUCGGAAUUACUGGGCGUAAAGCGCGCGUAGGCGGCUUUGCAAGUCGGGUGUGAAAUCCCCAGGCUUAACCUGGGAACUGCAUUCGAGACUGCAUUGCUAGAGUAUGGGAGAGGGAAGUGGAAUUUCCGGUGUAGCGGUGAAAUGCGUAGAUAUCGGAAGGAACAUCAGUGGCGAAGGCGGCUCACUGGCCCGAUACUGACGCUGAGGCACGAAAGCGUGGGGAGCAAACAGG
rnacentral:rRNA from 1 species